CAGUCGCCGCGGUAAUACGUAGGGUGCGAGCGUUAAUCGGAAUUACUGGGCGUAAAGCGUGCGCAGGCGGUUGUGUAAGACAGGUGUGAAAUCCCCGGGCUUAACCUGGGAACUGCGCUUGUGACUGGCGGGCUAGAGUAUGGCAGAGGGGGGUAGAAUUCCACGUGUAGCAGUGAAAUGCGUAGAGAUGUGGAGGAAUACCGAUGGCGAAGGCAGCCCCCUGGGCCGACACUGACACUGAGAGACGAAAGCUAGGGGAGCAAAUGGGAUUAGAUACCCCAGUAGUCCCUGUCUCUUAUAC
rnacentral:rRNA from 1 species